rnacentral:rRNA from 1 species
CUACGGGGUGCAGCAGUGGGGAAUAUUGCACAAUGGGCGAAAGCCUGAUGCAGCGACGCCGCGUGAGCGAUGAAGUAUUUCGGUAUGUAAAGCUCCAUCAGCAGGGAAGAAAAAAUGACGGUACCUGACUAAGAAGCUCCGGCUAAAUACGUGCCAGCAGCCGCGGUAAUACGUAUGGAGCAAGCGUUAUCCGGAUUUACUGGGUGUAAGGGGAGCGUAGGCGGUCUUAUAAGUCUGAUGUGAAAGCCCGGGGCUCAACCUCGGGACUGCAUUGGAAACUGUAGGACUAGAGUGUCGGAGGGGUAAGUGGAAUUCCUAGUGUAGCGGUGAAAUGCGUAGAUAUUAGGAGGAACACCAGUGGCGAAGGCGGCUUACUGGACGAUUACUGACGCUGAGGCUCGAAAGCGUGGGGAGCAAACAGGAUUAGAUACCCCUGUAGUC